rnacentral:rRNA from 1 species
AUGGGGUGCACCAGGCGCGAAACCUUUACACUGCACGAGAGUGCGAUAGGGGGACUCCAAGUGCGAGGGCAUACAGUCCUCGCUUUUGUACACCGUAAGGUGGUGUACGAAUAAGUGCUGGGCAAGACCGGUGCCAGCCGCCGCGGUAAUACCGGCAGCUCGAGUGAUGUCCAAUAUUAUUGGGCCUAAAGCGUCCGUAGCUGGCCACCCAAGUUCGUCGGGAAAUCCACCUGCCCAACAGGUGGGCGUCCGGCGAAAACUGUGUGGCUUGGAACCGGAAGGCUCAGAGGGUACGUCCGGGGUAGGAGUGAAAUCCCGUAAUCCCGGACGGACCACCGAUGGCGAAAGCACUCUGAGAGGACGGAUUCGACAGUGAGGGACGAAAGCUAGGGUCACGAACCGGAUUAGAUACCCGGGUAGUCCUAGCUGUAAACGAUGCUCGCUAGGUGUGGCACAGGCUACGAGCCUGUGCUGUGCCGUAGGGAAGCCGAGAAGCGAGCCGCCUGGGAAGUACGUCCGCAAGGAUGAAACUUAAAGGAA